rnacentral:rRNA from 1 species
CUUCAUCGAGCGUGAAAUCGAGUAGGGCGGGACACGUGAUAUCCUGUCUGAAUAUGGGGGGACCAUCCUCCAAGGCUAAAUACUCCUGACUGACCGAUAGUGAACCAGUACCGUGAGGGAAAGGCGAAAAGAACCCCUGUGAGGGGAGUGAAAUAGAACCUGAAACCGUGUACGUACAAGCAGUAGGAGCACCUUCGUGGUGUGACUGCGUACCUUUUGUAUAAUGGGUCAGCGACUUAUAUUCAGUGGCAAGGUUAACCGUAUAGGGGAGCCGUAGCGAAAGCGAGUCUUAACUGGGCGCUCAGUCUCUGGAUAUAGACCCGAAACCGGGUGAUCUAGCCAUGGGCAGGUUGAAGGUUGAGUAACAUCAACUGGAGGACCGAACCGACUAAUGUUGAAAAAUUAGCGGAUGACUUGUGGCUAGGGGUGAAAGGCCAAUCAAACUCGGAGAUAGCUGGUUCUCCCCGAAAGCUAUUUAGGUAGCGCCUCGGACGAAUACUACUGGGGUAGAGCACUGUUAAGGCUAGGGGUCAUCCCGACUUACCAACCCUUUGCAAACUCCGAAUACCAGUAAGUACUAUCCGGGAGACACACGGCGGGUGCUAACGUCCGUCGUGGAGAGGGAAACAACCCAGACCGCCAGCUAAGGUCCCAAAGUAUUGCUAAGUGGGAAACGAUGUGGGAAGGCUCAGACAGCUAGGAUGUUGGCUUAGAAGCAGCCAUCAUUUAAAGAAAGCGUAAUAGCUCACUAGUCGAGUCGGCCUGCGCGGAAGAUGUAACGGGGCUAAGCAAUACACCGAAGCUGCGGCAAUGUCUUUUAGACAUUGGGUAGGGGAGCGUUCUGUAAGCCGUUGAAGGUGAAUCGUAAGGUUUGCUGGAGGUAUCAGAAGUGCGAAUGCUGACAUGAGUAACGACAAAGGGGGUGAAAAACCUCCUCGCCGGAAGACCAAGGGUUCCUGUCCAACGUUAAUCGGGGCAGGGUGAGUCGACCCCUAAGGUGAGGCCGAAAGGCGUAAUCGAUGGGAAACGGGUUAAUAUUCCCGUACUUCUGACUAUUGCGAUGGGGGGACGGAGAAGGCUAGGUGGGCCAGGCGACGGUUGUCCUGGUUCAAGUGCGUAGGCUUGAGAGUUAGGUAAAUCCGGCUCUCUCUAAGGCUGAGACACGACGUCGAGCUACUACGGUAGUGAAGUCAUUGAUGCCAUGCUUCCAGGAAAAGCCUCUAAGCUUCAGAUAGUCAGGAAUCGUACCCCAAACCGACACAGGUGGUCGGGUAGAGAAUACCAAGGCGCUUGAGAGAACUCGGGUGAAGGAACUAGGCAAAAUGGUACCGUAACUUCGGGAGAAGGUACGCUCUUGAUGGUGAAGUCCCUCGCGGAUGGAGCUGACGAGAGUCGCAGAUACCAGGUGGCUGCAACUGUUUAUUAAAAACACAGCACUGUGCAAAAUCGCAAGAUGACGUAUACGGUGUGACGCCUGCCCGGUGCCGGAAGGUUAAUUGAUGGGGUUAGCGCAAGCGAAGCUCUUGAUCGAAGCCCCGGUAAACGGCGGCCGUAACUAUAACGGUCCUAAGAUAGCGAAAUUCCUUGUCGGGUAAGUUCCGACCUGCACGAAUGGCGUAAUGAUGGCCACGCUGUCUCCACCCGAGACUCAGUGAAAUUGAAAUCGCUGUGAAGAUGCAGUGUACCCGCGGCUAGACGGAAAGACCCCGUGAACCUUUACUACAGCUUGGCACUGAACAUUGAACCUACAUGUGUAGGAUAGGUGGGAGGCUAUGAAGACGUGACGCCAGUUGCGUUGGAGCCGUCCUUGAAAUACCACCCUUGUAUGUUUGAUGUUCUAACUUAGACCCAUUAUCUGGGUUGAGGACAGUGCCUGGUGGGUAGUUUGACUGGGGCGGUCUCCUCCCAAAGAGUAACGGAGGAGCACGAAGGUGGGCUAAUCACGGUUGGACAUCGUGAGGUUAGUGCAAUGGCAUAAGCCCGCUUAACUGCGAGAAUGACGGUUCGAGCAGGUGCGAAAGCAGGUCAUAGUGAUCCGGUGGUUCUGUAUGGAAGGGCCAUCGCUCAACGGAUAAAAGGUACUCCGGGGAUAACAGGCUGAUACCGCCCAAGAGUUCAUAUCGACGGCGGUGUUUGGCACCUCGAUGUCGGCUCAUCACAUCCUGGGGCUGAAGUCGGUCCCAAGGGUAUGGCUGUUCGCCAUUUAAAGUGGUACGCGAGCUGGGUUUAGAACGCCGUGAGACAGUUCGGUCCCUAUCUGCCGUGGGCGUUGGAAGAUUGAAGGGGGCUGCUCCUAGUACGAGAGGACCGGAGUGGACGAACCUCUGGUGUUCGGGUUGUGUCGCCAGACGCAUUGCCCGGUAGCUAAGUUCGGAAUUGAUAAGCGCUGAAAGCAUCUAAGCGCGAAGCGAGCCCUGAGAUGAGUCUUCCCUGACAGUUUAACUGUCCUAAAGGGUUGUUCGAGACUAGAACGUUGAUAGGCAGGGUGUGUAAGCGUUGUGAGGCGUUGAGCUAACCUGUACUAAUUGCCCGUGAGGCUUAACCAU